GCACCGGCUAACUACGUGCCAGCAGCCGCGGUAAUACGUAGGGUGCAAGCGUUGUCCGGAAUUAUUGGGCGUAAAGAGCUCGUAGGCGGUUUGUCGCGUCUGCUGUGAAAUCCCGAGGCUCAACCUCGGGCUUGCAGUGGGUACGGGCAGACUAGAGUGCGGUAGGGGAGAUUGGAAUUCCUGGUGUAGCGGUGGAAUGCGCAGAUAUCAGGAGGAACACCGAUGGCGAAGGCAGAUCUCUGGGCCGUAACUGACGCUGAGGAGCGAAAGCAUGGGGAGCGAACAGGAUUAGAUACCCUGGUAGUCCAUGCCGUAAACGUUGGGCGCUAGAUGUAGGGACCUUUCCACGGUUUCUGUGUCGUAGCUAACGCAUUAAGCGCCCCGCCUGGGGAGUACGGCCGCAAGGCUAAAACUCAAAGGAAUUGACGGGGGCCCGCACAAGCGGCGGAGCAUGCGGAUUAAUUCGAUGCAACGCGAAGAACCUUACCAAGGCUUGACAUACACCGGAAACGGCCAGAGAUGGUCGCCCCCUUGUGGUCGGUGUACAGGUGGUGCAUGGUUGUCGUCAGCUCGUGUCGUGAGAUGUUGGGUUAAGUCCCGCAACGAGCGCAACCCUCGUUCUAUGUUGCCAGCGGGUUAUGCCGGGGACUCAUAGGAGACUGCCGGGGUCAACUCGGAGGAAGGUGGGGAUGACGUCAAAUCAUCAUGCCCCUUAUGUCUUGGGCUUCACGCAUGCUACAAUGGCCGGUACAAAGGGCUGCGAUACCGUAAGGUGGAGCGAAUCCCAAAAAGCCGGUCUCAGUUCGGAUUGAGGUCUGCAACUCGACCUCAUGAAGUCGGAGUCGCUAGUAAUCGCAGAUCAGCAACGCUGCGGUGAAUACGUUCCCGGGCCUUGUACACACCGCCCGUCAAGUCAUGAAAGUCGGUAACACCCGAAGC
rnacentral:rRNA from 1 species